rnacentral:rRNA from 1 species
GAUGAACGCUGGCGGCGUGCUUAACACAUGCAAGUCGAACGAUGAAGCCCAGCUUGCUGGGUGGGUUAGUGGCGAACGGGUGAGUAACACGUGAGUAACCUGCCCUUAACUCUGGGAUAAGCCUGGGAAACUGUGUCUAAUACCGGAUAGGAGCGUCCACCGCAUGGGGGGUGUUGGAAAGAUUUAUCGGUGUUGGAUGGACUCGCGGCCUAUCAGCUUGUUGGUGAGGUAGUGGCUCACCAAGGCGACGACGGGUAGCCGGCCUGAGAGGGUGACCGGCCACACUGGGACUGAGACACGGCCCAGACUCCUACGGGAGGCAGCAGUGGGGAAUAUUGCACAAUGGGCGCAAGCCUGAUGCAGCGACGCCGCGUGAGGGAUGACGGCCUUCGGGUUGUAAACCUCUUUCAGUAGGGAAGAAGCGAAAGUGACGGUACCUGCAGAAGAAGCACCGGCUAACUACGUG